rnacentral:rRNA from 1 species
CGUAUUCGAGGUGGCGGACGGGUGAGUAACGCGUGGGUAACCUGCCUUACACAGGGGGAUAACACCUGGAAACAGGUGCUAAUACCGCAUAAGCGCACAGGGCCGCAUGGCCCGGUGUGAAAAACUCCGGUGGUGUAAGAUGGACCCGCGUCUGAUUAGCUUGUUGGCGGGGUAGGGGCCCACCAAGGCGACGAUCAGUAGCCGGCCUGAGAGGGUGGACGGCCACAUUGGGACUGAGACACGGCCCAAACUCCUACGGAAGGCAGCAG